UGCACAGUGCUGUGACAGUGUAGGAUC
rnacentral:piRNA from 1 species